GUUCCCCGCGGGCGCUCCUCCUUCCCGCCACGUUCGCGCCCCCCCAGUUGCGGGAGACCGGGAGUUCUUGAGGGGUUGAAGGAGCGGGCCAGGGGCCAAACGGAGAAGGAACGGCGACAGGGGUGGGGCGCGGACUUCUGUCCGCGUGCGGGACCGCCGAAAGGCCGGAGGAAGCGGCCGGGGGCCAGUCCAAUAGCUUCGAGAGCAAAAGCAGCGUCUGUAUAAACCUGGUGGCCGUGUGCAAGUCCCGACCGCAGCGUGGAAGGAGAAACCCAUCGUGAAAAUCCUCCUCUGAUGGCCAAACAUGCUCUCUGGCAUACAGACGGGCGCGCACACACAAUGAUAGUAAUAAUCAAUUAAACUAAAGUUUUUAACUUAAAA